rnacentral:SRP_RNA from 1 species
UUCGAGAGGCACAGGUUUUGCUCCUGUGAACUUCCCCAGGGUCGAAAGGCAGCAAGGAUAAGCAGUCGUAGCGAUUCGCUGUGUUCUCUCAAAUUU